rnacentral:rRNA from 1 species
UCCGUAGGCGGUGUGGCAAGUCGGAAGUGAAAUCUCUGGGCUUAACUCAGAGGCUGCUUCCGAAACUGCCGUGCUAGAGUGCGAGAGAGGCAAGUGGAAUUGCGGGUGUAGCGGUGAAAUGCGUAGAUAUCCGCAGGAACAUCCGAGGCGAAAGCGGCUUGCUGGAUCGCAACUGACGCUGAGGGACGAAAGCUAGGGGAGCAAACAGGAUUAAAUACCCUGGUAGUCCUAGCCCUAAACCAUCAGGACUUGGGGUUUGCCCUGUACGGGGCAAGUCCCGUAGCUAACGCGUUAAGUCCUGCGCCUGGGGAGUACGGUCGCAAGGCUGAA